CGCGAGGUUUGAGUGAGGGCGAUGGCUGACGAGUCCUGGAAGUUGGAGCAGGAGCUGGAGCAGGGCAGGGCUCAGGCAUGGCCCCAGGGCGGCCACGACAUGGGUGUCCUCAAGCUGCUCCGGUCAGUGCUGGCGGGACGGGACGGGACGGGACGGGACGGGACGGGACGGGACGGGGAGCAGCCGGGGGGGGUUGGGAUGGCGGGAUGCGCAGCGUCUGACCGUUGUCGCUUUUCCCCCGCCGCAGCCUGCGGGACCAGAUGAAGCAGCAGCUCAUGGAGUACAGCGCGGCCGUUCGUGGCGGUGAAACAACUUUCCUCGAUCAGGUUGUUGAGGAAAAGCAUAUUCAAGGUGUCACAGAAGAUUUGGAAACAAAUAAAGAGGAAAUAGAAGUCUCUUUCUGGAACAAGACACUGGCCUUGCAAAGGAUCCAGCUUAUGGCUGCCCUGAGAAACAAAGUGAAUCAAGGUGAUAAAGACUCAUGUCUGAUCCUGGAAACAGUGAAUCGCAUAGUGUUGCUCAGCCGGACAAUAAUCAAAUAUCAGCAGGUAAGUGGCAACUGUAGCUUCUGUUACAGUUGUGCAGGCCAACCAACCUCAGCAUGGGCAGGAGUGCACUUUGAAAGCAGCAGGACUGCACAAGUUAUUUAA
rnacentral:lncRNA from 1 species